GGUGGCAACCUAAACCCACUGCCGCCAUUGGUACCCUGAAAAUGAAGGCAUGCAUCAUUGCAGCAGUCACCGAGUAAACGUAGUGUCACCCACAUGAUCAACACUCCAGAGGCUCGGAAGAUGUCAGUCAAUACAGUUCUUGAAAAACCUCAGAGAUAAGAGAUGGGGCGAAGGAUGAGGAGCCUCAGGUCUGUGGGUGGUGAAUGGCAUAGGUUGGAUCUCAGUAUGUCUCGUGAAAAUUCAUUAUGUGAUAUGGAGCCUCUUCUUCAAAAUACCGUAAGCGUGGUCUGGAUUUUUUUCUUAAGCCCUCCAACUGAUAUGGAGCAAGACAGUCAGACACCUUCACCUGAACCAGAUCCGUCUCCCUCAUCCCCAAUGACACCAUGGGUCCUCACCAGUGUGUGUGGAGCAAGGUAAUUUCUUCCUAAGGGCACUUCUAUUGGUAAUUUCAAACUGCAAGAGGACAAGGAGCUCCAAGGAUGGAGACAGUUUGGUCUACCUGGCUGGAAGAGACGUCCCUGCAUCCAAGCAAAGUGAACCCGUGAUGAGGAAAGGAAAAUGGGGAAAAAAAUGAUCACAUGUAUGCAGUAUAAAGUUUGUACAAUAAAAAAAUAAUGUCUUUAUAAAUUUACAUUUGCCUUUAAAUACCCUGUCUGCCCAAGUGAGAAACUGCUGUCCUCCUUUUGUGUGUGGUAAAGGGAGGUGGAGAACCCAGCCAAAGAUGCACACCAGGACCAAAACUAGCAAUGAUGGUGCAGUCUGGGGCUUCUCCUGAACCCUAAGGCCACCUCUCCUGUGGGGGAGGCAGUUCCUGCAAAACCCGGAUUGUCAGAUUGGGGAAGAGCUGGAGACUCACCUGGGCCGACAGGAGCAGGUGGUGGUCUUAACUUCGGUGAGAGUCCCAGCUGAAGGUUCUGAGGGUGGAGCCCCAGGAGAAUUGAAAGUUGUCCUGCGCCUCUUUGUCCCCACUGGAUGCUGAAGAGGGUACCCUGUUUCUUCCAGAUACAACCUCAUCCUUGUUUGCUGGAGGAAGCCCGUGUGCUUGUUCCUCAAAGUUUCUCAUCUUCCGUGAAAGGCACUGGCUGGAGAGCGUGAUGUAGCCCGGUUGGUUGCUAGAACACAAAACCCUAGGUUCAACUCCAAGCACCACACAGUCUGGGCAUGGUGACACAUACCCAGAAUUCCAGCACUUGAAAGGUGGAGGCUAGGUUAUUACAAGCACAAGAUCAGGUCUGGGGAGAAGCAUGGUCAUUAGAGGGCUAAGUUUGAUCCCAGGGACCGAUCCAAUCCCACAGCUGAGGACACAGAGCUAAGUGGAUCCCUGGGCACCACUGGCCUGACAGCCUAGCCUACAUGUUGGUGACAAGCAACAUGGUGUGCCCCUUGCCCCUGGACCAAAUAAAUGUAUGGAAAAUUAAAAUUCCCCUUAUGAAAUACACACAAGAUACACAGCAUUUCUAUAAUACAAGAGGAUUGAAAGAAGGAAACAAAAAAUAUUUUCGCCUGCCUACAGAAGAUUCGAUGCCUCUGAUCCCUUUAACUGGUGUUUACAUGGACUGAUCACUUUCCUUUGUUGGUGAAUAUACAGUCCCGUCUGAAGAGACUUAAAAAAGGCAGAAUCAUACGUGGAUACUGCCAGCGCUCUUUAUAAAUGACAGCAGUGAUUUUUGAAAGAACAGCUUAAAUAUUCCAUAUCUGGAAUAUUUUCCAUAUCAGUAUCUGGAUACUGAGUAAUAAAUGCUAAAAAAAACCCUCUGCUCAUGAUGGAUAGCUACUUGAACAAAUUUAAAUACUGGCAAAAUCCUCCGUUCAUGGCAGGUAACUCUUGCUUUGGUGUGUGACGGUGGCUGGCUUCCAAAUAUAAGCAUUGUUUUAAGAAACUUUAUUGAUAGUUCUAAUGGGCACUGCCUAGACAUAAUGAAACUUCCCCAAAUGCAAGCUCAUUAAAAACUGUCUCAGAAACUGUUA